ACCAAAGCACCUGAGGGAAUGUCACGCAAUCACGAGGAGAGCGAGCAAACAGAUGAGGCCGGGAGUGAUGAAACAGAAGGUGUCAUCUCAUCUGUUCCAGUGCCACCCAAGAACUUCCACAGAGAGAAUGCCACAGUGAAUUUAUAACAACUAGAUGACUUCAGCAGCAAGCACUUAAGAAGAUAAAUGUUACAUUGUCCUUCAAGACAAGAGGAUUUCUAUACAGGAACAAGAAGACCUUGGUGCAGAAUUUGUUACCAGCAACUGGUUCACCAAUACUGUGUGGAACGUCUCUGCUGGGUCACAGAAUGAAGACUUCAGUUACAAACACUGGAAGGUGUGACCAGCCAACAACAUUGCUGUUUUGUUUGGUAUGCUUGAACUCUAUGUCAUAAGAGUUGGCUCCAAGGGAAUGUACCCUCCGUUGCAACCAGGCAGCAGACAAAACUGGGAUUCCCUUCUUGGGGUUGAAAAUGGACACAAAGGGCUGGUGGUCUGUCACUAGGAUAAAGUAUUGUCCAUGGAGGCAAAGGUGGAACUUCUUUACUCCC